AUCAAUGGAUGUAGAUCAAAUCUCAGUGCUCAUACUACUCAACUCCUCUGCAGCCUUUGACACAGUCAGCUGUGGGGUUUUAUUGAUCCACUGCCACAUCAUAGCUAGAGUAAACAAUGCAGCUCUGUAAUGACUCCAGUCAUUCCUCUUCAGCAGGACCCAGAAAGGACCUGCUCAUUUUUACCUAAUUGCUGUCACCUGUGGAAACCUACUGGACUCUAUCUCAUCCUCUGUGCUCUUCAAUUUGUACAUCAGGUUGCUUGGAGAGGUGGGGUGAUGACACAGCUAUGCUGUCAACAACAGGCUGAUGAUGACACCCAGCUGCAUGUCUCCUACUCCACAGAUGCCAUUACAAGGAGGUCACAAUGCCUGCAGGAGAUCAGCUUCUGGGUGAAGAGCACCUGGUACAAGCAGAGCCUGUGCAAGACCAAAACACGGACAGAAGCAGUAGACUCUUAGUGCUUUUCAACUGUCCUCCUUGAAGGAGCCUGCAGUCUUCGGCAGCACAGUCCUGAAAGACGAGUGUCUGCCAUGUUAGAAAGGAAAUUACUGAAAUUAAAGUUAGAGCGUUUCCUGGUUUCAGUGAAGCACUGCCUGUAUCAAAGAACACCUAGACAUGCGAAGAGCGCACGAGAUCGCCUGGAUGUUGUUUUCCGAAGGUGCCAGGAAUGAACCCA